UGUCGUUUGNACGUAACUCAGCAGAAGAAGGCACGGGCUAAAUUCGUGUCCCGCACAGCGCGCGUAAAUAGUGGAGUGGUGCAGCGCUUUAAUCGAAAUUUUUGGGGUGUAAAGGCGCAGCGCGGCGCGGUCUUCAGUGUCGAUAUGAAAAUCCCCGGGUCUCAACGUGGAGAGUCCAUUGGAAACGGGCAGGCUAGAGUAGAAGAGAGAGAGGUAGAUUUCCAGGUGUAGCGGAAAAUGUAGAGAGAUGGGGGGAAUACAGGUGGAAGGGCGGCCCCCUGGACAAAGACUGACGCUCGAGUGAAAAGUGUGGAGAGCAACACAGGAUUAGAUACCUGGGUAGUCACACGCCGUAAACGAUGUCGACUUGGAGGUUGUGGUUUUGAGGCGUGGCUUCUGGAGCUAACGCAUUAAGUCGACCGCCUGGGGAGUACGGCCGCAAGGUUAAAACUCAAAUGAAUUGACGGGGGCCCGCACAAGCGGUGGAGCAUGUGGUUUAAUUCGAAGCAACGCGAAGAACCUUACCUAGUCUUGACAUCCUGAGACAAUUCCAGAGAUGGGAUGUUGCCUUCGGGAACUGUGAGACAGGUGGUGCAUGGUUGUCGUCAGCUCGUGUUGUGAAAUGUUGGGUUAAGUCCCGCAACGAGCGCAACCCUUAUUCUUUGUUGCCAGCGGUCAGGCCGGGAAUUCAAAGGAGACUGCCAGUGAUAAACGGGAGGAAGGUGGGGAGGACGUCAAUUCUUCAUGCCCCUUUGGCGUAGGGUUACCCACGUGUUCCAAUGGCGCACAAAAGAGAAGGAACCUCGGGAGAUCAAGCAAUCCUCAUAAACUGCGUCGUAGUCCGGAUUGGAUUUUGCAAUUGGAUUCCAUGAAGUCGGAAUCGUUUGUAAUCGUAUUCAGAAUGCCACGGUGAAUACGUUCCCGGGCCUUACACACAGCCCCGUCACCCCAAGGAGUGGAACCAAAAGAAGUAGGUAGGUUAACCUUCGGGACCAGGCUACGCACUUGAU
rnacentral:rRNA from 1 species